CUGACCCAAUAUAAAAAGUUUUUCCUGCCCAGUGAUUAUUAAACGGCCGCGUUUUCGUGCAAAGGUAGCAUAAUCAUUUGUUCCCUAAUUAGGAACUAGAAUGAAUGGAUUUACAAAAAAUUUCUUUCUAAAUUUUACUUCUAAAACUUAAUCUAUGAAUGAAAAAUUUCAUAUCCUAUAAAAAGACCAAAAGACCCUAGCGAGCUUAAGUACCCCCUAAAUUUAUCUAGUUUUACUUUAAAUUGGGACGAUUCAAGAUAUUUUCCAUCUUUUCAUAAUCUAAACUAUAAUUUUACCUUUUAUAUACUCAAUCAAGUUACCGUAGGGAUAACAGGCUACUCAAUUUUAAAAGUUCACAUUUACAAAUUGUCUUAGCACCUCGAUGUUGGCUUAAGAAUACUUUAAAAUGCAACAGUUUUAAGUAGUAGGCUUGUUCCGCCUUUAAUUUCUUACGUGAUCU
rnacentral:rRNA from 1 species